rnacentral:rRNA from 1 species
ACGGAAGGCAGCAGUGAGGAAUAUUGGUCAAUGGGCGGAAGCCUGAACCAGCCAAGUCGCGUGAAGGAUGAAGGUAUUAUGUAUUGUAAACUUCUUUAGCCAGGGAGCAAUAGUGGCCUCGUGAGGCCUUAUGAGGGUACCUGGAGAAUAAGGAUCGGCUAACUCCGUGCCAGCAGCCGCGGUAAUACGGAGGAUCCGAGCGUUAUCCGGAUUUAUUGGGUUUAAAGGGUGCGCAGGCGGCCUGUCAAGUCAGUGGUAAAAUCGUGGGGCUCAACCCCAUCCUGCCAUUGAUACUGCCGGGCUUGAUUGCGGUUGAGGUUGGCGGAAUUCGUUGUGUAGCGGUGAAAUGCAUAGAUAUGACGAAGAACUCCGAUUGCGUAGGCAGCUGACCAAGCCGUAAAUGACGCUCAUGCACGAAAGUGCGGGGAUCGAACAGGAUUAGAUACCCUGGUA